CAGUAGCCACGGGAAUACGAAGGGUGCAAGCGUUAAUCGGAAUUACUGGGCGUAAAGCGUGCGUAGGCGGUCUUGUAUGUCGAUUGUGAAAGCCCCGGGCUCGACCUGGGAACUGCAGUCGAAACUGCAAGACUUGAAUGUUGGAGAGGUUGGGGGAAUACCUAGUGGAGAAGUGAAAUUCGUAGAGAUUAGGUGGAACACCAGAGGCGAAGGCGCCUGACUGGCCAAACAUUGACGCUAAGGCGCGAAAGCGUGGGUAGCAAACAGGAUUAGAUACCCGCGUAGUCCCUGUCUCUUAUAA
rnacentral:rRNA from 1 species